UAAACAAGCAAUUACUUCUCUUCGCACUGUCCUAAGUACCUCAUGCUUCAUUCAAACAUCCUUUAUAGUCUAUAUUAUGCCUUUCCUUAUCCAAUCAUCUCCAGUUUAACCACUCAUCGAUCAUUGAUUCAUUGCGAGAAAACGAGAUAUUUGCCACAAAAUAAAACGAAGGUUUACUUCUUUUGUUUUUUAUCAGAAUUUUAUAUUAUUAUAUUAUUAUGCACUUACGUUUUACUUUUUAUGCAUUAUUAUUUUACAUUAUCGUAUAAGACAUAUUAGCAUUUGAUGCACGGCUAUAGAUGAAAACGAUGUACCACAAUAAGCAUAAAAUUAGGAAAAAACUAAAAUCAUAAGAUUGGUAAAGAACUAAAAUUUACACGUUCUGAAUGCAGAAAUAUAAUUGGAGCUAACUCGAAACUAUUUCUUCCUGUCUCCUUCAAAUGUAUUGUAUGUAUCUAACGUUUAAUAAUUACGAGUUAAUUUUCACUAGCAGUAGUAAAUAUAUGUUAUAAUAACUAAUAGUUAAUAAAUAAUACUAAAAAUAUAAUGUAAAACAUUUUACAUUUUGAAUUUUCACUGCAAUUAUUAACUGAAGUAUUUGUGGUUCUUCAGAUUUCGAUCGUACAUUUAAUAUUGCUUGCAUUAUGUUCGGAUAUUUCGUGAUCAUUGCAGUUCACUUCUCGCUGUCAGACUUGAACAUAUCGAUUCUCCGGAGAAGUGAACCGAAUGUCCGCGAAACAUUAGAAUAAAGCGCAAAGCACCACUAAAAACACGAUCAAAAUGCAAACAACUACAAAUAUUCAUAUGUCAUCAAUAUAGAUUUAUUACACAUGUUAUUUAAGAUCAAAUUUAAAUUUAAUAAUAAUCAUAUAACGUUUGAAUUGGUAUUACAGAUGCUCUUGCUUGAAACUAUAAACAUGUGAAUUUGCAAAUAAUUGUUCCAGUCCAAAAUUUAAAUUGCCUCUAUAGAAUACGUCUAUAUCAAUAGAUGUUCUUAGAUUUUCGAUUUAUAAUACACAAUGCAAUCAGUGGCUGCAAAAAGUAUUUGCACAUUGUAUUUAUAAUGGAAUUAUAUACUUAAUUAAUUAAGUCCGGGUAUAUUAAAUUUCGUAUCAUUUGAUAGUAUUAUAGGUACUUUUAUGUAACUACAAAAAUUUGUUACUAUGAGAAUGAAAUAGAGAACCUGAUAAUAGAACGCUUUAUUGGAAAAUGAGGAUAUGUGUAAAAGUACGUUUCGUAAGCACUGUAUAUCGUUUUCAGCUGCUAUAUAAACGCAAUAAACGCAGAAAGGACAAAUCCAGCAGGCAGAUCCACUAUCUGGCGCAGAACAGAACUAUACGUCAAUCGAGUGAUGGAGCAGCGGUUUGGUUAUAAUUGGAUCAGUUUAGUUAGGUAUUGCAAAUAUUGGCAGCCAGGGAAGCUGGCGACCCAGUGAUGAAACCUAAUUGGUGUUGGUGUACGUGAAAAUGAAAAUGGAGGUUGGGGAAUUCGUUCGAGCGACUGGUUUAAUUGGACUGCAAUGUUGCGAUGGGACGCGACUACGCGACGUCCAAAUUGCAUUGGAAGAGGAACGGACCGGCCACGGACCACGAGAGGGGAAUGAUGAUGAGAGAUACCAGAGAAGGGGAUAAUUAGAAUUACCUAAACAAGGGAAUAGUGAAGAAGAAGCAACCAUAAAAUACAUAAUUACAAAACAUACAAACGAAUACACUUAAGAGUAUGAUGUAAAUCAAUGUAAAUACAAAUUUGGCAGAAAUUUAACACAGACUUCUAAUAAAUUUUGAUUUUGAUUGAAUACUUUAACACAAACUAUUUCGAAGACUUUUUAUAUUUUAUUGAAAUCAAAUAGUAUUUAGAAUGAUUAAAAUGCAGAUAUAGAAUCUUAAAUAAUUGUAAGAAGAAUUCUAAAAUAUACUUCCAUCGUUGCACGUAACGACGCAUGGUUUUGUAAUA